rnacentral:rRNA from 1 species
GCAUAUCAAUAAGCGGAGGAAAAGAAACCAACCGGGAUUGCCCUAGUAACGGCGAGUGAAGCGGCAAGAGCUCAAAUUUGAAAGCUGGCUCCUUCGGGGUCCGCAUUGUAAUUUGCAGAGGAUGCUUCGGAAUCGGCCCCCAUCUAAGUGCCCUGGAACGGGCCGUCAUAGAGGGUGAGAAUCCCGUCUGGGAUGGGGUGUCCGUGCCCGUGUGAAGCUCCUUCGACGAGUCGAGUUGUUUGGGAAUGCAGCUCUAAUUGGGUGGUAAAUUUCAUCUAAAGCUAAAUAUUGGCCGGAGACCGAUAGCGCACAAGUAGAGUGAUCGAAAGAUGAAAAGCACUUUGAAAAGAGAGUUAAAAAGCACGUGAAAUUGUUGAAAGGGAAGCGCUUGCGACCAGACUCGCCCGCGGGGUUCAGCCGGCAUUCGUGCCGGUGUACUUCCCCGCGGGCGGGCCAGCGUCGGUUUGGGCGGCCGGUCAAAGGCCCCUGGAAUGUAACGCCUCUCGGGGCGUCUUAUAGCCAGGGGUGCCAUGCGGCCUGCCCGGACCGAGGAACGCGCUUCGGCUCGGACGCUGGCAUAAUGGUCGUAAGCGACCCGUCUUGAAACACGGACCA